UACGUAGGGUGCAAGCGUUGUCCGGAAUUUAUUGGGCGUAAAGAGCUUGUAGGCGGUUUGUCGCGUCUGCUGUGAAAUUUCGGGGCUCAACCCCGAACUUGCAGUGGGUACGGGCAGACUAGAGUGUGGUAGGGGAGACUGGAAUUCCUGGUGUAGCGGUGAAAUGCGCAGAUAUCAGGAGGAACACCGAUGGCGAAGGCAGGUCUCUGGGCCACUACUGACGCUGAGAAGCGAAAGCAUGGGGAGCGAACAGG
rnacentral:rRNA from 1 species